rnacentral:rRNA from 1 species
UGGGGAAUAUUGCGCAAUGGGCGAAAGCCUGACGCAGCGACGCCGCGUGAGGGAUGAAGGUUUUCGGAUCGUAAACCUCUGUCAGAAGGGAAGAAACCGCACUGUGCUAAUCAGCAGUGCCUUGACGGUACCUUCAAAGGAAGCACCGGCUAACUCCGUGCCAGCAGCCGCGGUAAUACGGAGGGUGCAAGCGUUAAUCGGAAUUACUGGGCGUAAAGCGCACGUAGGCUGCUUUGUAAGUCAGGGGUGAAAUCCCACGGCUCAACCGUGGAACUGCCUUUGAUACUGCGUAGCUUGAAUCCGGGAGAGGGUGGCGGAAAUCCAGGUGUAGGAGUGAAAUCCGUAGAUAUCUGGAGGAACAUCAGUGGCGAAGGCGGCCACCUGGACCGGUAUUGACGCUGAGGUGCGAAAGCGUGGGGAGCAAACAGG